CCUACUGCACCUUCUCCUGGGAGUCUCCGCCCUGAAAACGGGAGUUGGUGGCUUGCGGCUUCUGAGAGAUCGGAAUCACCACUGGAGGGAAAGGAAGAAGGAACCGACCAGAAAAGCAGGACCGGGACGAGUGGGGACCUUGCUGCGCUUGGAGACAGAGAGGGCUCGCUCCGCACCACUUCCUUCCCGGCACCUGAAUCUGCCCAGAGGUCCCAGCCCUCAGUCACCACGCUUUCUCGCCGGAGUUGUCCGCCCGCAGGCCCCCGUCCGGACUGGGGUGCACACCCCAUAAAGAGUAGUGUCUCUCCAGGCCCUGAGGAGACAACCUCCAACCCACAGGGGUCUGGGUUGAUAAACAGACAAAAACUGAGAUUUCUUUCUGUACAAAUGCGCAGUUGCAGACGAUCACUGCAAAUCUGCUUCCUUGAGGAGCUAACAGCCCUCUUGGAGCAAAGCUCUGGACCCCAGUUUGAGACACCGAUUUAGACCAACGCCACCUUUCGUGAGGCCUAAGGCCAGCUAAGCACUGCUGCUGAGACCCGCUCUCACGCUCCUUCAUCUCACGCAGACGAGCCCCACUGCGGCAGAGCAGGACCCCCCUCCUGGGUCCCUGCAGCUCCACAUCCCUGGGCCUCCAGGGUGCCUCCUUGCUGACUCUCUGUGUCUGUGUCCGUGUGCGCACAUCUGGGAACAUGUGCGUGUCUCUGGGUGUGAUUUCUUUCAGGAACAAAAAGACAAGCUCUAAUGAAAAAAAUGAAGCUCUGAUGGUAGAAUCUGAGGCACGGACAGCUACUGAACUGCAGACUUUGGAGAAGGGGCUGGGAGAUGGCUCCUGUUCCAUUUCAGAAAAUGAGAUUGGCUUCCUUCUGGGAGGCAGGGCUCCUGGGUUCCUAAUAUGGAAAGGGAUGGUGGGAAGAUGGGCCGGCUUAACCCUUAAGAACCUGGCUCCCAGGGCAGGGCUGGAGACGGGAGUUCCCCUCUCAGCUCCUCCACCCUCAGCUGCCCACGCGGUCCUGGCUUCCAGAAGCCUUGGAAACCGCGGGCGACGCGACGCGGUGCGGGGAGGAGACACAGAGUCCAUUCACCUCGUGUGAGUGGAUGAAACCCCAGACGAAACCAGGCUGGUGUGACCGCGGCCUGUGGCCAAGCACGGGGGCCGGGCAAGAAUGGCAACUCAUUGCCUCCAGCCCUGAGGCAGGAUUCUAAGGGAUCGAGGACAGCAGGGCUCUCGGUGACCCACAGCACAGUCGAAGCACCUCCUGAAUUUCUGU